rnacentral:misc_RNA from 1 species
GAUGAAGAAGCAGCGAAAUGCGAUACGUAAUGUGAAUUGCAGAAUUCAGUGAAUCAUCGAGUCUUUGAACGCACAUUGCGCCCCCUGGUAUUCCGGGGGGCAUGCCUGUCCGAGCGUCAUUGCUGCCCUCAAGCACGGCUUGUGUGUUGGGCCUCCGUCCUCCUCCCGGGGGACGGGCCCGAAAGGCAGCGGCGGCACCGCGUCCGGUCCUCGAGCGUAUGGGGCUUCGUCACCCGCUCUUGUAGGCCCGGCCGGCGCUUGCCGACACAUCAAUCUUUUUUCCAGGUUGACCUCGGAUCAGGUAGGGAUACCCGCUGAACUUAAGCAUAUCAAUAAGCGGAGG